CCUUGGAGACAGUCCUCCCUGUUUGCCACUUUGCUUGCGAGAGCAGAGCAGAGCGAAGAGCGAAGAGCGAAGAGCGGGAGGGGGGCGAUGUGCUCCCAUUUUCCCCGCCUGGCCGCGCGCACAGCCCGCAGGCUUCUGCCCCGCCCGCGGCUCCACCCCCUCGGAACCGCAGCCUCCGUCUCGGAGGGGUGAGGGUUUGGACUGGAUGCUCUGGCCCUGCCAAGGCUGCCUUCCUGGGAUCCAUCUGUUCGCUAAGCCAGGAGGCCUGGGUACCCAUUGUGGGUAAAGCCAAGAGCCCCCCCUCUCUACGGAGUCCUGGGCGUCACGAAGGCCUUAAGUGGAACAGGCGGAGGACAGGUGGUGUAAGGUGACACGAGAGGACCCAGUAAGAUUUCAGGGGUUUGGUGGCAGCAGUAGAAACCGAGCCAGACGAAAGGAAAGCUCCAGAGUAGGGCCAGGGCAAGCUCCUGAGAACUGGGGCUGACUUUCACGGUUAUCUGCUGGGAGAACCUUCCACGGAGGCGGCGGAGAUGCGCGGGAAGGAAAGAGGAGCCUGGGCCUCCAUUUCCUCUUGGGGAGAGUGGAGCUAACAAGUCUUGCCAAUAAGCCCAUGGAAAGAUGUUCACCGUCAUUAGUCAUUAGAGAAAUGCAAACGAAAACCACAACGAGAGAUCACUUCGCAUCUACCAGGAUGCCUAUCAUCAAAGGACAGAGAAAACCUGAAUGAAUCAAGUUUCCACGUUGUAAGCUGCCGGAUGGAGAAGCCCAUGUGACAAUGAACUGAUGGCAGCUUGCAUCCAACAGGCAAGAAACUAACCACUAUUUAGAAUCAUGUGAGUGAUCUCAGAAGCCCUCCUCCUCCAGACCAGACUCGAGGUGACUGCUACUGUAGCCAAGACCUUGCACUAGAGGAUCUAGCCAAGUGGUCUGGAUUCCUGACACAAAGAGCCAUGAGAUAAUAAAUGCUGUUAUAUUUUAAGCCA